AAAAAGUCACCUGCACAUUAAAUGGAUACAUGCUCAAAAAUUCUCCCUGACAAGAAAAAUCUAAACACUGAUAAUGACCUCACACACAGGCUUUGGUCACACUCAGAGUACUGCUGGACACAACCACAUACGCUCAAACAAGUUGCCCACAUACUGGCUCUGCACCAUGUCAGAUCCAAAUCUAGAUAUUUGUACUUCUGGGAGAUUGAAGGGUUCCACCUCUGCUUUUAUUCCUCAAGUGGGUGAUGCAAAAGCACUGAUUCCUCCCCCACUACCUCUCAAACGCCACCAGAGGUCACCUGAAUUUGAGACAACUUUAAGCCAGGGCCCACAACUGAAAGCCUUUAAUAUAGAGAGCUCACUGGCAUGUCAGACUUCUCUUGGGGAAGUCCCAGGGGAAGUACAUGACAUUCACAGUAGCCGCAUAUUUGGAAUUUUACCAAAAGUGGAACAAAAAUGCCACAAAAAUGAACAAACACAGUUUGCUCCAAGACCUCCUCUUACACCACCUAUAAAACCUCCACGGCCUAAUAAGCCAAAAAAGGCUGAGCUAGAGGAAGAAAAGACAGGAGACAAGAAGAACAGGCAUGAGCAAGAGCUGAUGGAAAGAAAUGAGAAUACAGAAGAGAAUGAAGAAACAUCUAAAAUAGAAAGUCAUCUGCACGUAGGUAAACCUCCACGGCAGAUCUUAGUAAUAUUUACAGAAUAUCUACGGGAGAAAGGUGGAGAGGACAGGGGAAAGGAAGAUAAAGAACCUAAUAAUAUUGAGCUGACCACUACCUUGACAGAAAAUUCAUUCCUGCUAGCAAUGAAAGGCUCAGACCUUACCUCAGAUGAAGAACCUGACAUGGCAGCAACAAACAGAAAGUCUAUAGUUUCAGUGAAACAAGAACCAACAAUUCCACCACAGCCUCCUCCAAAGACACAUCAGAAGUGUCCCCCAAAACCACCAAUCAAACCUCUACAGCUCUUCAGCGCCAUGAGGUCCAGGAUAGAAGAGGAAACAGAGAGUAGGAAGCAGGUGGAUGAAUGGUUAAGAGACAAUGGCUUGGUGGACAAAGAAAGGAAUGAAGAGGAAGACGAAGGAAAGGAUGGAGGAAAGGUAAAUGUAGAUACAGAGUCAAUGACACCAACCAUGACAGAAAUGCCUUCCCGACCAAAAGAAAUAGUAAUGAAGUCCAUCCCCAAGUCUUCAGUGUAUCAGGAGGUGGAACUGCCAAGAGCAGGGCAAAGAUUUUGUCUCAUGCCCCCUUGUAGAAACAAACCGUCAGAAAUCACAACUGAGAACAAAACUCUUCAUCAGUCUCAGCUCCCAGGGAAACAACACCUGAACCAUGCAGAUGGACAAGUCCAUCCUGGUCCUCUUCCACAAAAGAUUCCUAUUCCUGUCCCAUGGGUACAAGACUCUGAAGUAAUUUCUAAGUUGCCAUCUGGACAUCAGGAAGGGACAGAGGUGGUGGGGUCGAAGUUGGAUCCACAUCAGCUGGAUGCACAGGAAAUUGCUGAGAUGCUUUUGGAUGGAGAACUAAAGCAAACAAACCAGAAGACCAAUGCAAGAGGAAAGGUGAAACAGCUUGCCAAGAAGGUGAUCGGUAGAUUGAAAGAGGGACGAGAGGACAAAAGAAGAAGCAAAGCGCUAGAGAUGGAAAUAGAUGAUACUGAACUGACACAGGAUGAAAAGUGGCAUGGGGAAGAAGGAGGAAUGAAGGAUGAGGAGAAAGAGGAAGGGAAUGAUGCAGUUACUGUGGACCAAUCAGCAGUGACAGAGACACAGAGCUAUGCUGACCGGAUGAAAGGGAGGAUUGCAAGAAGAAAUGCAACAUCUGAAAGUCCUUUCAGCUCCUUUAAAGUCUCCAGUCCAGUGAAGCUAGUGGAAGAGCUCCUGUCGGGUGAUGAGUGGUCACAGUUCCUGCACAGAGACCAGAGCCCCAUGAAUGACCCCCCUCCAUGCCAGACACACUUGGAGGACACGGGACAGCUCAGUGCGAACUUCCAGUUAAACUCCAGUGGUGAACAGGGCCUCACUCUGGAUGUGUUUGAAGGCGACCAUGCUGUCCCAGAAGAUCCCGUCUAUGAGGAUAUCGACCUGCCAACUAUUAACAAAGAAGAGCAGCAAACACGUGAGCAACAGGAGAACAGAGCACGCAGCACUGCUAUUCCAAGUAUACUGCUGGAGAGGGAAACAAAUCCGAUGAGCCCCGGGACCAAAGACAUUUAUGAUACAGUGGUGUUUAUAGAGCCUGUGCAGCCAGUCUAUGUCAAGUCGCAGUGUGUUUUGAGCACUUCAGUUCAGAAGUACAUCAUCAAGCUGAGCAAGAAGAGGAAACACAGACCACCACAGAAAUGGCAUCGCCAUAACAACCAAGCGGAUACCCUCAACCAGUCUACUACCUCCACCUCUCCACAAGUAUUCUCCACCUCCAUCUUCUACAACGUCCCACCUUCAGGAGGAGAGGAGCUGCUCUCUACAGUAAAGCCUGGAGCAAGCAGUCCCAGUCUGGCCAAGAUAAAGACCAUACUGAGAGGAUCAUCACCAAAGGAGGACAGAGGAAAGUAAUGGAUGCUUAAUCCAUUUUAUUCACAGUGUGUUCAAGGUAAUGCAGCCAGCGGUUUGGCAGGUGCCCGCCGUUAGCUCGCGACGACGCUCACACAUGACGUAGUUGAUAAACAGUGCACACUCAUUUCAAAUCAUAAAGCAGCAGUCAGUGGGAGUCUAUCGGCAGCAGUUGGUGAGAGUGAGUGAAGGUGUGUGGUGACUGGUAUUGUUUGGCUCGUAAAAACACAGAUACAACUUAGGCUUUUAUUCAUAUAAAAUAGUUUGUCUGAGUACAAAAGUUACCUGGGCCAUCAUUCAACACCUGUCUUUACCCUACUAUUUCAUGUGGCUGCUGUGAAAAAGGCCUAUAGGGCCCAACUUGAAACUGAAGUAUUGACGCACGUUAAUCAGUCAGUCGUUGAUGAAUAUGUGAUGGAUAUAUGUUCCAGGAGCUCAAUGUGCAGUAACCAUGAUUACUUCCUGUAUAUUGCACUACAGGUCUGUACCUUGUUUUUGUUUACUUUAAUCUUGUUUGCACCUAUGUGUGGUCUGAUCACUCCCAUUGAAUGUUGCACUUUUUACUGUACUGCACUAUAUAAAGAUGGGUAGCAAUAGAGUCUGUCUUAUCUCUUACUUCCUUAUUAUGUAUAUAUUAGUCAAAGUGACAUAUUGUUGUUGUUACAAGGAAUACUAAAUGACUUCAUGACUUACUGUACCAUUUUGAGUUUACCCUUCUCAUUACAGUUAUGUAGAUUCUUAAAGGCGCUGUAAGUGAUAUCUUUUUGUUAUAAUAAGUGUUAAAUAGCUGUACAUUCUGACAGCCAUCACUGAUACAGAGUGUUUACUCAGUAACGUGUCUCCGAGUCCCUCCUGUAGUAAACAGAGAAUAAAUGUUCUGGUAUCCUGUUCCCACUUUAUCCAAUCAGGAGAGAGAACUCCACAAAGAGAGCUGAAUGCAGUGAUGUGGGGACGAGGGAGGGGACUGCUAACUGAAAGAGCAGACAGGAGCCAAAAUGCCAAUUUUGCUUAGAGCACCUUUAAUGCUUGUAGGAAUGAAAGGAGGCGACACAGUGUGUUGACUGUAUGAGGAGUGUGUGUCAGUGACAGUGUCAGCAUGAUCCCAAAUGAAUGCUAAUGUUGCUCUGUGUCUGCUGUAUGUGUAAAACAUUUGCUAACAUGUUAGGCACAUCAACUUAAAAGGUGAUGGUAUGUCAGAGUUGUUUCUGCUGCCCCCAUGUGGGAAAAACAGUUAUAAUAAUAAUACAUAAUAUAUAAGCUGAAACGGGUACAUUAAUACAUAAUCAAAUGCAAAAUUAAAUGAAUAAAUUGUGGUACUUGAUGGGAAAUGCAUCACUACAUAAUGUAGUUGUUGUUUGUAUUUUAUUUUUUACAUUGAUUUUUUUGUCAUUUCAGCAUUUUUUUAACAGAUUUAAAAUCUGUUAAAUUUGGAAGAUCACAUUGAGUCGCUGAAACAUAUCAGUUAUAAUAAAUGUAUAGAAUUGAUAUCUAUAUAUUAUAUAUAUUGCUAUCUGAAUUGCAGCUGAUGCUGCUUCAUCAUUCAACUUUCCACCUCUCUGUCUGGUUCAGUCACCUGAAGAGAUCUAAGAAUAAACUUCUAGGAUUGUGCCAAAUAGUUCGCAAACUCCAAAAGCCCCUGACUCAACUUUUGUUUUAGAAAGGAUGAGGAAGAAAGCGAGAGGCAUCCUGGAAGAUCCUCUUCAGGAGUCUAAGGUAUAUUCUAAUCUACUUUUGGGAAAAGAGAAAAAGCACCUUUUUUGUUUCUCAUUUUUAUUAGUUACCAAAAUAUUACACAUCAUGUCCUCAAAAUCAUAUCCAUACCAUAUCCCCAGCAACGCUUAAUAAGGUUCAAAAUGCUAUAUACAUUGAUACAGAAAGGAAAGGUAUGACAGCUUGCAGGUGAAGGCAAAUGAAGAGCUAAUGAGACUGAUGGAUGAGUGCAUGUACAAAAGAACAUGAAGUAAA
rnacentral:lncRNA from 1 species